UGGAGGAUCAAAAAGAACAGGCUGAAGUCCUUUGGACUUUUGGAGACUUUAGAGAAUACAGUCACACUGCUGCUGAGAAAUCUGGACUGUACUGUGGAUGACGGACCUGUAGGAAGCGUUCCUGAGAUUUGGGACUGUCCUCACUGCACAGGUCAUGAUGAAGAACGGACGCUCAAAAGGCAUCGGGUGUGUGACGUUUUCAUGUCCUGAUGAGGCUCGAGUAGACAUCAUGGAGAUGAACGGCAGGGUGCUGGGCAGCAGGACUGUGUACUUAAGUCCCUCUCAGUCCCUCUCAGAAUGUAGAAACCAUCUCACCUUCAAAACCCUGCCCAGACCCAAGACCCAACACCAACAAGAACAUCCAUCCACAGAAUGUUCCAGUUGCAGAUCCUGGAAAAGAAAACCAGCAGCAGUGGAACAGG